rnacentral:lncRNA from 1 species
AUAAAAUCAUGGGUAUUCAUAAAAAGAUCGGGAUCUCCAAGAUCCCAAACAUCCCACAAAUUAAUGAGAUAUUCAUAAAUCUCGAAUAUCUCAAAGGUCAAAGGAUCAAAACAUGGAGAUCAAAUUCAAAUAUUUCUAUAUUCGAGAAAUAUGCCACUAACGACCUCGAAUUACAGAGAAAUUUAAAUAUUCCUGUGUUCAAGAAAUACGCCACUAACGGCCCUCGAAUUACGGAGAAAUUCAUAUCCAAAUCUUCCUACAUUCGAGAAAUACGCUACUGACGGCCCUCAAAUUAAGGAGAAAAUCAAGAGAGAAGAAUCAAGGGAGAAACAGAUUUAUACCCAC